GCUUACGGCCAUACCACCCUGAGAACGCCCGAUCUCGUCUGAUCUCGGAAACUAAGCAGGGUCGGGCCUGGUUAGUACUUGGAUGGGAGACCGCCUGGGAAUACCAGGUGCUGUAAGCU
rnacentral:rRNA from 1 species